rnacentral:rRNA from 1 species
AGCGUACACGGUGGAUGCCCUGGCAGUCAGAGGCGAUGAAGGACGUGCUAAUCUGCGAUAAGCGUCGGUAAGGUGAUAUGAACCGUUAUAACCGGCGAUUUCCGAAUGGGGAAACCCAGUGUGUUUCGACACACUAUCAUUAACUGAAUCCAUAGGUUAAUGAGGCGAACCGGGGGAACUGAAACAUCUAAGUACCCCGAGGAAAAGAAAUCAACCGAGAUUCCCCCAGUAGCGGCGAGCGAACGGGGAGCAGCCCAGAGCCUGAAUCAGUGUGUGUGUUAGUGGAAGCGUCUGGAAAGGCGCGCGAUACAGGGUGACAGCCCCGUACACAAAAAUGCACAUGCUGUGAGCUCGAUGAGUAGGGCGGGACACGUGGUAUCCUGUCUGAAUAUGGGGGGACCAUCCUCCAAGGCUAAAUACUCCUGACUGACCGAUAGUGAACCAGUACCGUGAGGGAAAGGCGAAAAGAACCCCGGCGAGGGGAGUGAAAAAGAACCUGAAACCGUGUACGUACAAGCAGUGGGAGCACGCUUCGGCGUGUGACUGCGUACCUUUUGUAUAAUGGGUCAGCGACUUAUAUUCUGUAGCAAGGUUAACCGAAUAGGGGAGCCGAAGGGAAACCGAGUCUUAACUGGGCGUUAAGUUGCAGGGUAUAGACCCGAAACCCGGUGAUCUAGCCAUGGGCAGGUUGAAGGUUGGGUAACACUAACUGGAGGACCGAACCGACUAAUGUUGAAAAAUUAGCGGAUGACUUGUGGCUGGGGGUGAAAGGCCAAUCAAACCGGGAGAUAGCUGGUUCUCCCCGAAAGCUAUUUAGGUAGCGCCUCGUGAAUUCAUCUCCGGGGGUAGAGCACUGUUUCGGCAAGGGGGUCAUCCCGACUUACCAACCCGAUGCAAACUGCGAAUACCGGAGAAUGUUAUCACGGGAGACACACGGCGGGUGCUAACGUCCGUCGUGAAGAGGGAAACAACCCAGACCGCCAGCUAAGGUCCCAAAGUCAUGGUUAAGUGGGAAACGAUGUGGGAAGGCCCAGACAGCCAGGAUGUUGGCUUAGAAGCAGCCAUCAUUUAAAGAAAGCGUAAUAGCUCACUGGUCGAGUCGGCCUGCGCGGAAGAUGUAACGGGGCUAAACCAUGCACCGAAGCUGCGGCAGCGACGCUUAUGCGUUGUUGGGUAGGGGAGCGUUCUGUAAGCCUGUGAAGGUGUGCUGUGAGGCAUGCUGGAGGUAUCAGAAGUGCGAAUGCUGACAUAAGUAACGAUAAAGCGGGUGAAAAGCCCGCUCGCCGGAAGACCAAGGGUUCCUGUCCAACGUUAAUCGGGGCAGGGUGAGUCGACCCCUAAGGCGAGGCCGAAAGGCGUAGUCGAUGGGAAACAGGUUAAUAUUCCUGUACUUGGUGUUACUGCGAAGGGGGGACGGAGAAGGCUAUGUUGGCCGGGCGACGGUUGUCCCGGUUUAAGCGUGUAGGCUGGUUUUCCAGGCAAAUCCGGAAAAUCAAGGCUGAGGCGUGAUGACGAGGCACUACGGUGCUGAAGCAACAAAUGCCCUGCUUCCAGGAAAAGCCUCUAAGCAUCAGGUAACAUCAAAUCGUACCCCAAACCGACACAGGUGGUCAGGUAGAGAAUACCAAGGCGCUUGAGAGAACUCGGGUGAAGGAACUAGGCAAAAUGGUGCCGUAACUUCGGGAGAAGGCACGCUGAUAUGUAGGUGAAGUCCCUCGCGGAUGGAGCUGAAAUCAGUCGAAGAUACCAGCUGGCUGCAACUGUUUAUUAAAAACACAGCACUGUGCAAACACGAAAGUGGACGUAUACGGUGUGACGCCUGCCCGGUGCCGGAAGGUUAAUUGAUGGGGUCAGCGCAAGCGAAGCUCUUGAUCGAAGCCCCGGUAAACGGCGGCCGUAACUAUAACGGUCCUAAGGUAGCGAAAUUCCUUGUCGGGUAAGUUCCGACCUGCACGAAUGGCGUAAUGAUGGCCAGGCUGUCUCCACCCGAGACUCAGUGAAAUUGAACUCGCUGUGAAGAUGCAGUGUACCCGCGGCAAGACGGAAAGACCCCGUGAACCUUUACUAUAGCUUGACACUGAACAUUGAGCCUUGAUGUGUAGGAUAGGUGGGAGGCUUUGAAGUGUGGACGCCAGUCUGCAUGGAGCCGACCUUGAAAUACCACCCUUUAAUGUUUGAUGUUCUAACGUUGACCCGUAAUCCGGGUUGCGGACAGUGUCUGGUGGGUAGUUUGACUGGGGCGGUCUCCUCCUAAAGAGUAACGGAGGAGCACGAAGGUUGGCUAAUCCUGGUCGGACAUCAGGAGGUUAGUGCAAUGGCAUAAGCCAGCUUGACUGCGAGCGUGACGGCGCGAGCAGGUGCGAAAGCAGGUCAUAGUGAUCCGGUGGUUCUGAAUGGAAGGGCCAUCGCUCAACGGAUAAAAGGUACUCCGGGGAUAACAGGCUGAUACCGCCCAAGAGUUCAUAUCGACGGCGGUGUUUGGCACCUCGAUGUCGGCUCAUCACAUCCUGGGGCUGAAGUAGGUCCCAAGGGUAUGGCUGUUCGCCAUUUAAAGUGGUACGCGAGCUGGGUUUAGAACGUCGUGAGACAGUUCGGUCCCUAUCUGCCGUGGGCGCUGGAGAACUGAGGGGGGCUGCUCCUAGUACGAGAGGACCGGAGUGGACGCAUCACUGGUGUUCGGGUUGUCAUGCCAAUGGCACUGCCCGGUAGCUAAAUGCGGAAGAGAUAAGUGCUGAAAGCAUCUAAGCACGAAACUUGCCCCGAGAUGAGUUCU